UUCCAAGAUGAUCCCCUCUCCAAGGGACCUACUAGUACCUCCCCAAAAAUAUAGCCACUUGGGAUAAAAUCUGGCAUGCCCUAGGUCUGUGUGGGUGAGAGGAUGUUUCCUUUUGACCUUUGACUGCCUACAUAU
ensembl:snoRNA